rnacentral:misc_RNA from 1 species
UUUCCGUAGGUGAACCUGCGGAAGGAUCAUUCUUAAUAAGUGUUCUAUGGCACUUUUUAAAUCCAUAUCCACCUUGUGUGCAAUGUCAGUCGUCCUCUUCUAUGGGAACGACCAAACAUCAACCAACUCUUUAACUCUUUGUCUGAAAAAUAUUACGUAUAAAAUAAUUCAAAAUACAACUUUCAACAACGGAUCUCUUGGCUCUC